rnacentral:rRNA from 1 species
GACGGAGGGUGCUAGCGUUGUUCGGAAUGACUGGGCGUAAAGGGCGCGUAGGCGGCCACUUGCGUCGGAUGUGAAAGCCCGGGGCUCAACCCCGGAACGGCAUCCGAUACGGGGUGGCUGGAGACCGAGAGAGGUGAGUGGAAUACCCAGUGUAGAGGUGAAAUUCGUAGAUAUUGGGUGGAACACCGGUGGCGAAAGCGGCUCACUGGCUCGGUUCUGACGCUGAGGCGCGAAAGCGUGGGGAGCAAACAGGAUUAGAAACCCCCGUAGUCC